CUUGCCAGCCGGGCGGCACCCGAUCCCUCCCCUCCUAGUGCAUAAAAACUUGGACCGCAUCCUCCUCGCUAUCACCCUCCUACCACUCGCACCCACGCCGAGAGCCAGGAGUUGUCGCCACCAUCGAGGCUAGCACAGAGAGAGAGAGAAGAUAGAUCGAGUCACCGUUAUUGACGCCUCGUGUGCGCGUCAUGCUUCGGAGGCCGCGAAGGGAUUAAGGAGGAUGACUGCAACCUGGGGAUCGUGUGCGCAAUGUCGUCAUCUACGGAGGGGCAUCCGACAUCGGGGAAUUGCUCGCUGAAGCAGGAUCCCCACCGCAGAACCGUGCCUCGCCGUGGUCGAUGUCCUCUACUGUAAAAUCGUCAGUAAAACUCAUACCAUGAAGUUCACCUUGGCCUCCUCUUUGUGUAUACGCCAUCAGUUCUCGCAUCCGGGUUCGUGGGGUCAGGGUUGGUCCGCGCCGACGGGUUGGGCCACCGCGGAGAGCUCUACUCUACCGUGCUUCAGCAGCAUAGGAGAAGCGUGCGACGGUCGUUGAUCUAGUGAGAAACGGUUGUGAUUAAGAGCAGAGGAUACCCCUUCGAUGCUUAAGAUCUGUGUCGUUGAAAUCGUCAGGGACAAUAGAGAUCAGAUGUUUGUUGUUUUGAAUCAUGGUUGUUAGAUUGAGAUGAGCGGCUGAGGUCAUAACACGCGUACCCUUUCACAUUUUUA
rnacentral:lncRNA from 7 species